UACAGAUCCAAUUCGACCCCUAGCCUGGGAACCUGCAUGUGUUGCGGGUGUGGCCCUAAAAAGAAAAAUUUGCUAAAAGGAGCAAGUCUUUUGCUAUCUGGGUACAGCAACUCCAACUUUGCUCGCCCAUAACUGCUUACACUUGAGCGUGAACCCAAGAGCCACGCUCAGGUUUAUGCUCAUUAGAUGCACGUGGAAUGGUGUUUUCGCUAAAUAACCACCUGCCCCCACUGAGCAGGAAGCCUUUUUUAUCUCCUUAUCAGUGAACUCAGGUAGCUUCUACCAAUGCUCAGGAAGCAGCGAGGUUGGAAAGAAAAUACGCCUCAGAGAGAAGUUGGAACUCUGCUUGGUAUUUGGACUCAUCUGGACAGUGGAAAAUACAGACCUCCCUGUCGUGAAGAUUAAACUUGAGUAGUAUAAAUGCUCAACAGGCUCCUGAUCCACGGCGUGGACUUAAUGCUGAUGAUGUUAACACCUGUCAGCUGGGGAGGAGGGCGACGCUCCAGCCUAUCUGGGGAGGUGCCAAGCGAGGAGACUGUGCCCAGGCUGCAGGAUGGGGGUGGCCAAGGUUUGAGGGCUGGUUCCAAACUUUAGGCAGAGAGCACUAUAUUUUCCUCUAGGCUUGAAACAGACCAGAGAUCAUGAAGCCCAUAUCCCACUAUCUAAGGCGGGGCGGGGGUCUCCUCUGAUUAACAGAAUUGUGUGGAAAGCCUUUUGGGAAUUGCUAGGGAGUGACGAAGCUUAUGAACAACAAGUUCUUAUGCAACCACAUGAGGACCUGUCAUCUCACACAUUCCCCAGACCUUGUUGAAGGCAGUUGGAUGACAGCUGAUGUGUCUUUUGGGAUGCCUUGCGCCAUGCAGGCUAACCGCAGGCAGCCUUUAGAUCCUUUUGCUCCAAUGUCAGUUUGCUUAGGAGGCUGGAUGGAACAGCCAAAAACCUGACUUUAAUCACCAGAUACUUUCACAUAGGCAGAUACAACUGACUAGAAACCAUUUUCUUCUGGAAGUGGAGUGAAGUGUUUUACGGUUGGCUAUAAUAUAUAGGAAAUUCCUCUCUGUAGUGAGCAGUGACCUUUUCUGACCUAUAGUCCAUAUAGCAUUAACCUCUGAAAUUUGAACGUUUGACUGUGAAUGUAGCUAUUCUUCAAGCCCAUGGACUCAUGGCAGGUAGGCCGGCAUAUUACUCUGGUUCAAUUCUCCAGUUUUUCCCCCAAGAAGCAACCCCCCCCCCCACCGAGUUUGUCAGUGAUUAAAAUACAAGUGCAUGUGCAGAGGCAUACACACUUCUUCUCUUUAUCAAGUGCUUUUCCUAAAGCAUGACGCUGCCAAUCUGGAGUCUGAUCAAAGGAAAGUAUUUGCCACCUGCAGCCAGGACAGGGCAGAAUAGGCCAUAGUGACAAGAGCCCUCAAAUUCAGUGGCUUAGACCACAAAGGCUUAUUGUUCAAGCAGCCCCCAGGUGAGUGGCAGAGAGCAACACCCCUCAGCAUUGCUCAAGAGCUGAGCGUUGGGGGGUUCCCAUCUCAAUGGGGAGUGUCUGCCAAGGUGCUGCUUACUUUUUAGCAUCAACACUCUUCACUGCUGCUCUCAUCCCACUAGAAAGACCUGCACGUGGGCUGAUUUGACGGGUCAAGGACUCCAUUUCUUGACUACUAAGGAGGGAACUCUGAUGUGAGCGAGCCCUAAUGAGGCCUCAGGAUUUUAUGAGCAUCCUGCGGGCACCUGCUCUGGGCUAUCUACUACACGAGAGUUGCUGAGUCUGUUCAGUUCUUAUGCUAGAGGACACAAACUACGAGGAAGGGGUGUGGAACAGAGAAGAGGGUUAGGCUUUCAGGCAGAUAAGUUACAACAGGGCAGAUGCCAUCGUGCAAGUGACUUCAGGUAUGGGAACAGACAAGAUUGGAGAAAGAGGCUAAUGAAGCAGGCAACAUUUGAACCGGGUCUUGAAUAGUAUAUAUUACUUGAGAAUGUAUGAUAGUCUUAUUUGAAAUAAAGCCUUUGUGAAUGUUGAGGUCAGCUUUAGUUGUGUAAGUUUGAGAGAUCCAGCAUUCUGUUUCAGCUCAAGAAAUAAUUUCAACUUCUAAAGAAUCAAGUCAUUCACGAACAUAGUGGUCUCGUCAGUGUGAGCUGAAACCGUGACCCAGAAGGACUGGCCGGGGACCAGGCAGGUGCCAACAGGUGUGCGCUAAGGUAGUCACAUUCUUAUACAAUCAGGGCAGGAAAGUUUAUAGGAACUUUGUGUUUUUCAUGGAAAGACCGUCUAGGAGACAGGUUUUAGAUGCCAUGACUUUGCAAUUGGAGAUAGGCCAAAAACUUGUAGCAACAAGAGAACACCAAAACAAUCCCCGAAAAUUGUCACUGAAGCGAUAAAAGCCCAUGACUUAAUCACUCAUUUACUAAACUUUCCCACUUAGGACAGUUAAGAGUCGAAGCUGCUACAUUUUCCCUUCACUCCAGAAAUUCCUUUUUGUCUUAGCAAGAGCCUCCACCCAGAUUCAGAGAAACUUCAAUGGUGAUUAUUACAGGAAUUUUCUGUGCCUCAUGUAAUUCUAGGCACAUAUUGACUCGUACCCAAACCACCCUUGCUAGAGUAGCCACCGGUAUCUUUAACCUCCAAGCUAAAUUAUAAGGAGCGGCGGGUCACACAGGACCAAGUGCGGACUAGGGCUUGAACCCCGAUAGUGUAACUUUCAAGCUUAAGUUCUUACUCAUUCCACUACAUCAUUUUAUAGAAUGAAAAGAGAAGUAUAGAAAAGGUGUAAAAAAGCCUAUAAAAAAACACUUCCCCCCUCAUUAAAAACUAAUAAGCCUGGUAGUUGGUUUUAAAAUUACUAGGCUGCAACUUUCUGCAGGUACUUAAGUCUUUAUAAAACUUGUCUUCAUUGAAACAUCUAAUAUUUAACUAUCCUCAAACACUUCCCUUGCUCUGCCAGCACAAGGCUAAAUAGAUUCAGCUAUGCGACGAGGACAGUUUGCUUGAAGUCCCUAUGGCACCACGACUAAGAAGCCCAGACCAGGCAGCGCCCUUCCUAUCACUGAACCAGGAUUGCUUUUGCCCAACGCCCAACCUGAUGCUGAAAGCCUAGAAGUUUGCAAGAGAGUUUAAGCACGAAACAACCCAGCACAGAGUCGAAAGGAGAGAGUUUUAGAUGCGCCCAGAAAAAGAACCCGCUUGCAGGUAUUUAUGAGAUGAGGUUGGGGGGGGGGGUGCAGGCGCGCAGAGCGCUGGGAAAGCAGGAAACGUGAUGGAAAACAGGUGCAACAUCGUCAUUCUGCGCAGGCGCAGCUCAACCACAACCGGUGCACGUUCAAAAGCAAAGGCGCUUGGCACGAUCUGAGGGUGGGGUUUUCUGCCCUCUGACGUCGAAAGGUCACGGAGCAGGCACUCGCGCAUGCCCAGUUGAGGGGGUUUCCUAGCGGCCCUUAACCGAACUCUGGUCCAACGAGAUGCAGCUGACUCCAGGUUCCUGGAAAACAACUUUGGCAAACAUCUGCUUGUUUAGGCUCCGUGCUGCUCGGAGGAUGUGCGGGCUUUUUGCAGCAACAGUUAAAAGGAGCUUAUUAGUGAAAGCAGGUGAAAUGGAUUUUAUUAACGGUUACUCACGGUUUCAUCCAUAGAAGGAAGGCAAAUGAGAAGGGAUGCAUGACUUUUGAUAAGCUUGCCAGGUGGAUCACCUAUGUCUUUGUCGCCAAUCCGCGGGUAGUUGGUUUAAAUGCUACUCAUAUGUGCCCGAAGUCAAGAUGUUUCCAUCUAGGCUCCCUUUCUCUUGAACUCUGGAAUAACUACAUGUAAGAAGCUGCUACGCAUAUUGCUUUUCUAGGAUAGUGUUUUUCCUUAAGCUAUUAAGCUUUUUAAGAAGCCCCUCCUGACUAGCUGAUGACAGAAACUUCAGAUGAGUUAGAAGGGUGGCAUUUUUUUUUUUCAUGGGAGCUUCUGUUAUACUUUUUCCUGUCUACAUUUUAAAAACACUGGCCUUUGGAUAGAAUUGCCAUCUUGGAACCUAGAGGCCCAUUCAAGGGCACCCAUUGCUCACAUUUGCAUUUGCAGAGGAUCUGUUUCUGGGUGUCCUGGAGCCGCCACCACACACACGAACUACCACUACAAGUGUGCACCCCGCACAUGGCAGUGUAGGUUGGGCUUUUCUGCAAAUCCAGUGUCUCAAAAAAACAGAUACUCAGAGCUGCCCUCAGACGAAAUUGCUGAGAAGCGACAAGGCUCCAGUGAGAAGUCCCUGAACGGUGCUGAUGUUGGUGCAAGUCAGUGGUGGAUAAAAGGAUUCGGUCUCAUCCACAUUUGGGCCUACCCCCUUCUUUCCUCCAUUGCGACUGGUGGUUGAUCUUCUCACCCUGAGCAGGACUGCGUCACAGCCUGGGAUCAGAACCACAGCGUUGGCGCAGAUGAAGAGGAAGAUGCCGAUGCCCAUGAUGAGGGGCCCGAAGACCUUGAGCUUGUCAGAGUGCAGGUAGCCGG